rnacentral:rRNA from 1 species
AUUGAACGCUGGCGGCAUGCCUUACACAUGCAAGUCGGACGGCAGCGCGGGUUUCGGCCUGGCGGCGAGUGGCGAACGGGUGAGUAAGACAUCGGAACGUGUCCUGGAGUGGGGGAUAGCCCGGCGAAAGCCGGAUUAAUACCGCAUACGCUCUGAGGAGGAAAGCGGGGGACCUUAGGGCCUCGCGCUCAAGGGGCGGCCGAUGGCAGAUUAGCUAGUUGGUAGGGUAAAGGCCUACCAAGGCGACGAUCUGUAGCUGGUCUGAGAGGACGACCAGCCACACUGGGACUGAGACACGGCCCAGA